GCUUCAAGUCAGAGGAUCCUAGCACCUGC
rnacentral:sRNA from 1 species